rnacentral:lncRNA from 1 species
UCAUUGAACGUCACAGAGUCAUGACAUAAUUAUAUAUUCUGAGUUUAGCUUUCAUAAUCUGAAAUUAACAAUUUUUAAGCAAAAUACAUGCAGUUGUCUGAUGCGCCUGUCUAGUCCUAGGUACAUUUGAACAUACAUAAAAAGAAUCUGCCGUUCUUGGUGUUGCAAUAUUGGCUUCAGUAAGACAACAUGUCUAUCCCCUAUCACGCAAUAUAUCACCCAGAGUUUUAUAACAAGUCAUUUCAAUGUGCAAUCCACCAAACAUGACGAUACACUUAUAUUUUCCUUACAAAUCAGGCC